AUUGAACGCUGGCGGCAUGCUUUACACAUGCAAGUCGGACGGCAGCACAGAGACGCUUGCUUCUUGGGUGGCGAGUGGCGAACGGGUGAGUAAUAUAUCGGAACGUACCGAGUAAUGGGGGAUAACUAAUCGAAAGAUUAGCUAAUACCGCAUAUUCUCUGAGGAGGAAAGCAGGGGAUCUUCGGGCCUUGCGUUAUUCGAGCGGCCGAUAUCUGAUUAGCUAGUUGGUGGGGUAAAGGCCUACCAAGGCGACGAUCAGUAGCGGGUCUGAGAGGAUGAUCCGCCACACUGGGACUGAGACACGGCCCAGACUCCUACGGGAGGCAGCAGUGGGGAAUUUUGGACAAUGGGCGCAAGCCUGAUCCAGCCAUGCCGCGUGUCUGAAGAAGGCCUUCGGGUUGUAAAGGACUUUUGUCAGGGAAGAAAAGGCUGUUGCUAAUACCGACAGCUGAUGACGGUACCUGAAGAAUAAGCACCGGCUAACUACGUG
rnacentral:rRNA from 1 species